GACCUUGGGCAAGUCACUUCACCAAUCUGGGCCUCAGUCUCAUGACCUUCAAAAUGGGAGUGAUGAUACCUACACCUGGAGCCAAACGUACUGUGACGAGAACAAAGCGAAAUAGCUAGGUAGCCCGCCGUUCUAGGUGCAGGUUGCAGCCUCUCACUAGACACAGAAGCUCUGCUCGGACUGACCCCCUGCCAGCUCCCCUCUGGAUGCCAUGAUGGUGUCCAACAUCCAACGGGAGGAAGUGUUGCAGCCCGACUCCCCUCCCCUCAACAGAGGCCUGCUGUAGCCGCUGGAGACACUGAGCCGGUGUGAUAUACUCCUGCGUUCUAUUUCCUGGACCUCAGGCCUUGCAGAUUCAUCAGGAUGUCCUUGAGGUUCUGCGGGAAACUGCCCAGUCUCCUGAUGAGCAGGUGGGCGCUCAGAGCAGGGAAGGAGCUGCAGCGCGGGAGCCUGGGAACCUGGGCUGGGCCAGGGGCUGUGGUGGGAGGUGGUCGGGCGUGAGCCCAGGUGUGCAAACGUGCUAAGUCACAUCUCAAACCAGAGGAGGACGAGAACAAGCAGGCAGACCCUUCAGCCAGCUCAUCAAUGUGAAGGGAGCAGACAGGAGGCACAGAGUGGGAACAAGCGUUGUCAGCCUGGAGGGGGGCUCAAAGCAGAGCGUGAGGAUGGGGCUGGGGGAGCUGAACCGUGUGAGGAGGGGGCCUGGCCUGAGUGCUUCUCAGUAGAGCCCCUGGCCCCUCAGCCACGAUGGGACAUCUUCGCCUCUCCCCAGACUCUCUCUGGCUUCUCAGUACAGGCAGCUCUUUAAAUCACCUGGGGAGCUUUUAAAAAGCACCGGUACCUGCGCCCCGCUCUCCCAUUCAGAGCCAUGUGGUGCGGGGGCCUGGCGUGGGCAGGCUUGUCCUGAGGCUCAGCAGUGCGGAGACUGCCGCAGGAGGGGCGUUGGGCUCCCUCGGUUUGCCCGCGGCAGGUCACAAUAUAAUUUGGAUGUGGGAAUUUCCCAGGUUCCUCCAAUCCUGGGGUCAAGGUUAAACUUGACGGAGGUACCGUGGAAGGCCCAGCCCCUCCCCCCCAGUUCCUGCCCCCAGUUAUCUGAUGGGUCUGGGGGUUGCAGGGUGAAGCAGGGAACAGUGGAAGAGGAGUUAGGCACAGAGGGCGGAAGUCUGCGUCAGAAGGCCACACGUUUCAAAGUCUCUCUCUUGAAGGGCCUCACUUCUUGGUCUCCCAGCUUGAGGGCUGGCCAUUGGCUCAUAGGUGGCCAGGUGAGGGCCAGAGAGCUGUUUCCCCUGGGGCCUGGCUCUGUCUGCUGGCCCGGGAAGCCCGGUGGGUAUCUCUGUUCUUUCUGCUAAACAUAGUUCCCCCAGAUAUGGCUGGGGCAUCAGGGAGAGAGUGGAAGUAGCAGCAGAGAAACGGCAAUUUCUGUGAAAAGGAGUAUUUUGGGUUGAAAGGCAGUGAAAACUACUAUAUGUGGCGGGUAAACCAAUCAUAUCAUAGCUGUGUCUGAAACCCUAUCGAAGUUUUCCUGGGGCCUGCAUGACAGUCUCACUGGGUUAGGGGCCUGUGAGUGGAGUACAAGGCCUGGAUAGAGGUGUAGGGCUUCGGACAAUGCCCUCCAACACCAACAGACAAAUCUGAGCUGAGACUGGCCAUAAAGCAGCUAAGGAAGGCUGUUACUGAUGAAUAAGGAGGCCAUGGUGGCUAGAGUAGUGGGCUUUGGGGUCGGGGAGGGAGGGUAGAGGAUGUCUUUGCUGAGGGAUAGUUACCACCACCAGGACGGGGUCAUGAUGUGGGAAGCAGCCAGCUGGUGAGAAGACCUUGGGUGAUUGUGUCCGAUGCUCGUUGACCUGGCUCAGGUGGUCGGUGCAGGUGGUGGGGCUGUGUCAGAGGUUGCCUCACGGGGGCUCCAGGAGGCCCCGGGGUUCACAUCCCGUGCUUUCAGCAGGCCCUGGCUGACCGCGGAUGUCCUGGUAGUGGGGCCGUGAUGGCUCCAGGCUCCCCGCCUAGACACUCAGCUGCUUAUCCAGAGCUGCAGCUCCUCGGCAUCCAGGUCCUUCCGUGCUCUGGGGCCACGGGGACUGGAUGCCCACGUAGUCCCCGUGCAGCCUGGCCCUGCUGGGGUCCAGGGGAGAGGGUGGAAUAUUUCCUGGGGGCGCUUCCUCUCCCAGGUGCUCUGGUUUGCAAAGGUAUGUUUUGGAAGGUGGUCAGGUUAAGGCCCUUAGAGAAUGUGGCCCGUCCAACUUGCAGGUGCUGAGCCUCUGGUCAGAUCAGGUACCUUGGGGUCACCAUCACGGGCUGCCAGCCAAGAGCAAGCUCAUGGGAGAGCAACUCCUGCCCUUAAAUGGCAGGCGCGGCCCACUUUCCAGCGAGCACAGAAUUCCUGGGCCUUGUUCCGUCCAGCCUGGGCCCCCACUGGAUGUCAGACACAGUUAACAGUCCUGAGGAGGAGACUCCUGGCUUCACCAAAGGCAGAUAGAGAUCUCCGGGUGCAAUGGCCAUUACCAAAGCCCCCGCCACUCUCCUGCUUCCUGGAAGCACCCGUCUUCCUCCACGGGACGGGAGCCUUGCCUGGCCUGCCUGAGCAGACCCAGCCCAGCCCUGCACGACACCCCUCAUGCAACCUCCCCCAUGAGGAGGGACUCCGCAGAUUUUGAACCAGGUGUGGUAUGGGCUUAGACCUCAGGGUGUGGAUUUUUCUAAUCCUUCCCGCUUCCUCUCCACCCUAAUUCCUUUAGAAUAAAUCCAAAUGGGAAGAAAGGCUUCCUGUAAGUAGAUCUUACCUACUUGAAAACCCCUCAGAUUUCUUCUAUUUUGGAAAACAUUGCUUCCUCUUCCUUCAGUACUGCCUGAAUUAAAAACCUUCUCUUGAUAACAAAGGGCUCUCAGGGUAACCAGAUACCUAAGGUAGAUUUCCUGUCCAAGAAGUAGAUCAGUCUGGUUCAUUUCACUGAAACUUUAUAAAGUCUCUCGUGUGGUCCACUUGGGUCCAGGCAUGGAACAGUGAAAACAGUGACACCCCACCUUGCUGCAACCAGGGCAGGCUUGAUGUCCACAUACAGGCAGCAGCACAAAAUGGAUGAUCUCUUCUCCAAAGGACAUUUUCCAGGUUGUACUCAGCCUGGAAGUUUUUACCGACACAAAUCUAAAGCCGGGAAAAUUCUUCCCAGAGACACAGCACAAUUCAGACAGAUGAGGAGGUCAGGGUGGGUGAGCCUCUCAGAGCAUGAAGCCGUCUCAGGGUUCUGGGCAGCCAGCCUCUCAGAACUCACAUCUCAGCAACCACUGCGGCACGGACGUGUGCAGUAGCAUGUAGCAACCAGGAGAGCUAGGGCUCCUGAACUCGGGGCCCGUAAAGCAUGGACUUUGAGCAAUUAUAACCAGAGAGAAAGAGCCCCCUGUCCUAUUAGAUUUGAAGCCCUGUGGAAAAGGGUGAGCCAUCCAGGGAAGACUAGAGGGUGACAAGGAAGCGUGUGGGCACAGCGGAUCAAUAGAGAAUGAAAGAAGAAGCUGUCAGCGGAAAGGGACUGAAACGUUUCCCACAGCCACAUUGGGCUAAGGUUUCACCAGCCAUUAGUGCAAUGAGCUUAGAAGUAAAUAUGGGAGAAACUACAUUUAUUUGUCCUUGGUGCAUUCAUGCUGAAGGUAAUGAUUUGAUAAUUUAUUCUGUGGCAUGAGAUUGGCCACAGGACUGUAAUUUAAUCAGGGCUAUUCUGCAUAGAGAUUUGCUUACUUUUAAAGCCCAUUCCUCUCCUGGGCAGGGAAGUCUCUGGGCCUGUGAUGGGUAGGUGGGAAGUUGGGUCAUCUGUGGAUGACAUGAGAAUGCAAGCAACAUGACACUGAGUGCCUACCUGGUGGCUUUACCUGGGUAUUGCUGCCAGGUGCUCUGGACAUACCACUGUCACUACUGCAGCUUCCAGGUGGCCAUGUGUGAAAGGGAGAAGUGGAUUUUGAGCUAUGAAUCAUUUUCCAGGUUAACUUUGGGCUGCCAGUAAUUUCAUUUCGGGGAACAUUUGCCCACGGCAGAGGACGGUGGCUUACUGCAAGCGGGUGGGGGAAAUCCAUGCUCCACCUCUAGAGGAAUAUCUUGCGGACGGCUGAUAGUCUGCAUAUGGGAAGGUUUAUGGCACCUGCACACCUGAAUGCCCAUUUGUAUAUGCAUUCAAGAAAAGGAUAGUAAUAGAUGCUCAAUUAAAUUCCAGAGGUAUUAAAAAGAGCAUGAGGCUACUGUUGAGUAGGAAACGUCAAGCAAACAAGCCUUAUUGGUGCAGAACAGCAGCAGUAAGACCACAGAAAGGUGGGUGGUGGGGGCUCAGAUUGUGGUGAAGGAAGUGGAAAGAAUAUUUUUGGUUACAGCUGCAUUUUCAUGGGAAGGGUUUAUAAAAUGUGACAUGGAAAAGUGAAGAGAUUAUGGCUGAAAAGCAAGCUGGUUGACACAACAGGAAAGUAGAGAAUGUCACAAAAGAAUUUUUGAAUUAGUGUCUUAGUUUCCUAUUGCUGCUACAAUAAAUCACAUAUAAAUUUGUGUUGUUUUAGGCCAACAACACAAAUUUAUUCCCUCACAGUUUUGGAAGUCAGAAGUCUGAAAUGGUUCUUAAAAUCAAGGUGUCAGUGGGGCUGCACUCUUUCUGGAGGCUCUAGAAAGAAUUUGCUUCCUUACUUUUCCGGUUUCUAUAAAUGAGCUUGUGGUCCCUUCCUCCAUCUUCAAAGUCAGCAGGGUAGCAUAUUCGAGUCCCUCUCUCUCUCCCCCACCCUCCUCCUCACCUCUGCCUCCGUUGUCACAUCUCUGCCCCCUUAUAAGGUUUCUUGUGAUUACAACAGGCAGGCCCACCCAGAUGAUUCUAGAUAAACUUUCCACCUCAAGAUGCUUACCUUACUCUAAGUAUCUGCAAAGUCCCUUUUGCUAUGGAAGGUAAUAUAGUCACAGGUUCAGGGAACCAGGAUGUGAACCUCUGUGGGUAAGGGCAUUACUGUUUACCACGAUGUUGUAAAUCGUGAGUCUUUUCAAAAAACUCAUGGUGGCAUAAUUUUAGAUUUACAGAAAACUUGUCAAGGCAGUACAGAAUUGUGAGUCUUUUUUACAACAUUUUUUCAUCUCUGGAAGCCCUGUACAAAUGUUUUUACGUUAAAAAUUAUUUGAAAACAAAUGAGCCAUCUGUGAAAGUGCUUGGCAUUCUUGGGAAGAGAAGUCCUGUUUAGUGCAAGGCAUUUGUGAUACCUGGUCUCCUUCAAAGGAAUACCCUGUAGGGUUUCUUGAUGGGAGCUGCCAGCCUUUUCCAUCCCUGGGAACUUCCUGGGGCUGAUUCCUCAGAGGGCAGGACCCAAACCACAUGACCAUUAUUGCCCCAUGCAGACAGGUGAAGUUAAUACGACUUCUCUCUACCUGUUGAGAAACACAUUCCUCCCAGAAAGUCCUUCUCUGUAUCACCUCCUUCCUGCUUCCCUCAGUUGUUGCCUUGGGCACUUCUAGGCAUUUGCCAUCUGUAACUGGCUGGGCAGGUGGCACCUGGGAACCUUUGCCAUGUAGCUUGCCUGAGUCAUCUGUGCCUCUGUGGUGAGCCAGCCAUCCUCAGGGAUGCUGCCUGGGAAUCUUAGGGAACAUUGAGCUUCCUUCACUAGCUCCUGCCUAAGAAUAUUCCUCUGCCUUUUGCUAAAGGUACUGACUCUAGAAUCAGAACUAACUCUGUUGGUGAUUUGAGGUUACUAAUUGGCAUGAUGGCUUCCAAAACCCAGAUGUGCAUCAGAAUCACCUGUUGUGCUUUGUAGGAAAUACACCACAAAAUGAAUCUGGAAAGUCUUGUACACAAGAAAGCAAGGAAUUACUCAAAGAGUGAUGAGGACAUGUUAAAAGGAUAGAGGGGCCAGAUGGAAGGCUAAAUCUGGGACAUUUUGGCAUCAAAAUAAAGAGUGACAAUAAUGGAUUAUAAGCCAUUGAAUAAAAAAACACGUAACUAUAACUAGUCCAUACUCACAUCACUAAACAAAUAAGUAAAUAAAUGAGUGUUCAUGCUUUUACAAAAAUCCCGUGCCCGAGAUUCUCUCCCUGAAAUGCUGCCUCAAUUAGGUCUGGAGCAGGGCCCAGGCAUUUCUGGUUCUUAAAAAGACUGUAGGGGAUGGUGAUGUGCAGUCAAGGUUGAGAAAUACUGGUUUAGCCUCUCCCGGUAGAGCACAGAGCCAUAGAAGUUACAGAAGGAAGAGCUGAAGAAUUUGCUGUCUCGUCCAUUUACUCAUCAUGUAUUGAAACCUACUAUGUGUCAGGUAAUGUACAGACUGGGAUAUAAGAGGCUAAAAACAUUUCCUGUCCCCCUGGAGCUCACGGUCAAGGGGCUACUUAGCCCUGUGAACAGUCUCCCUUUGGGGUGGGCUCAGGUCUGGGAGCCUGGAAGAAUGAAGAGGACUUUGCUGGUGGACCAGGGAGAGAAGGGCAUUCUAGACCGAGGGAAAAGCAAAGGUGUGGAGGAGGGAGGGCGGGGCACGAGGUACUUAUUUGAUCUGCACGGGUGGGUGCACUGCAGGGUUGCAACAGAGGAGGGAUGAGCAGCGAUAAGGGCCACCGUCCGUGCCGGCACCGAGAACCAGACACUGGUUCUGGCGUGUUUCAUCCACUGAGCCCUGUGGCCUUCACUGCAGCCACACCCUACAAAGAAGGAGACAGCAGAGCCAGGUAGAGGGACAUUCCAAAGGUCACGCUGCCGGUACCCCCAAGCACACACGUUUAACUCUUCUGCUGGCCUUGAGAUACUUUUCAACUGACCAGCAGCCUUGGUCUCCUCUGGGAGCUCGGUAGACGUGCAGGCUCUCAGGGACUCUGAAUUCUAACUUGCUUCCCAGGACUUUCGUAGGCACCUUGGAGUCUGAGAAGUGCCAGUCUAGGUAGGGCUCUGACGGCUUAGGACGAAUGGAUUGAGGUGGGGACUGGCGGGCAGUGGGGUGGGGCGUUAGCAAGACCAAGCAGAGGUCUGACAUGGUGGUCUCAUGAGAGGGAAUGGUGUGCUCAAGUGGUCUUCUCCCCCAUGUGGGCUUUCUCCCUAGUACGUCUUGACUGUAAGCUCCUCCGGAAUGGUCCACAGGGUUCCCCGCUGGGGCCCCAGCAGACCUAGCACAGCAAUGUCUACCCAUCAGCGGUCAGUAGGUAUGGGCUGACUCAGUGCUCUGUGGACAGAUCUUUAACUCCAGACCCAGAGUCAUGAGAUUGCCCACAGCCUCACAAGCUUCCUGCAGUCCCAUUGUCCUCCAUCUGGACACUAAUCUUACAUCCACAGGGAUCUCUUCCCUCCCCCAGGCCAGUCCAGCUACUGCCUUGGCCCAGACUCUUCCUGUUGACUCAGUCACUCCAGUGGCAGGUGGGACCCAUGUAGGCGGUGCUGUGACAGGUGGGAGGUGAGUGUGGGAGCCCAGACUGUGGCCAGGACACCCAUUCCCUGCCGACGGCUGGAACAUCACUCAUGGUCAGAAUAAAGAAAAUCCCAUGACCACUGUUGCUGUUCUCAUUUUAACAACAACAACAACAAAAAAAAAACAUAUCCCAAGGAAGCAGUAACUACCACAGAACUGGGGAUUUUCUGUUCUGGGGAGUUUAGUCCAACUGAGAAGGCUACAAUAUGACUUUAUGCCAAGUGAACAGGUGUCAUUUCUCUGAACUUCCAUGAUCACUGGCAAAUUACACACUGUUAAGAACCCAGUCUCAAACCCCAAGUGACCUUCAGGUCUGGGCUUCCAUUCCUGGUCAUGGUGUUGCUGGUGUUUUGCCCUCCGUUUGCCCAGAUGGACGCCACUAUGCAUUUCUUUUCCCUAAUUAGGAUUUUGACUGAGGAUUUGAGGGCAAACUAGAAAUGCAUUUCCAUUAAAGGCAUUUCUAUUGCCAUGGGGAACUGCUACCAAGUCAUUCUGAUAUUCCCACGGCUCAGUCAUAAUUAAUAUUAAUAAUAAUUACUAACACGUAUUGAUAUUCCCUCCUUAAGAAUUUCCACUGUCAUUAAGUUGCUCCAAAAUUCCCUGAGGAAAGAGAGAGAACUGGCUCUUUUCCCCCAGCCCUGUUUUGAGUGUCUUUCUCUCUCUGAGAGCAGGGACUGUGUUUUUCAUCUCAGAAUCCCACUGGCCAGCACAGACCAGGUGAAGUUCGUGCAAUGAAUGAACAUUCUGGCCAGUUUCAACCCCAGGAAUCCUGCAUCUAGGACAACUGAGAGUGUGCAGCUGGUGGAGAGCUCAGGGGUGGUGUGGCCACGAGCCCAGCCGCGCACUCCUGUGAUCAUGUGAAUAAAGAGCCAGUGGAAGGGAGGGAAAUAAAGUGAUAAGACAACAUUACAAAGCUCUCCGGGAAUUAGAAGAUGGAUGCAGUAAUCCUGUGGAAUAAUGCAUGGCCAGGUUUCCCGGUAAGCCCCAGCCCCACCAAAUCACUGAAAAGAUGAGCAUUUCCAAUCAGGAGGGUCAGGGGGGCAUUACGGUGACAAAGGAAGGACAGGAAUAAGGGAGUGGGCAGCCACUCUAGGUGGCAUCUAGACUAAUGGUGCCACCCUGCAUUGGUUCCUUGUUGCUAUGACCAGGGAGAAAUUGGCGAGUCUAGGGGAGGAGCGUGCAUGCCUGGAGAGCUGUGACGGGGUGAUGUGUCUAGCCAUGCCUUGGCCUGACUCAUUCGUACCACGUGGGGCCAGACAGACAAACCCUCGAAGCCCCGCCCAGCCUCAGCAGCUGGUGCUACCUCCGCCUCCACGGCCAUGUGGGCCCUGCAGGGCCACACUUCUCUAUCCCACCCUCUUCCAUCUGCCUGUUGAGUCCAUUCUCAAUCAUCCAAGUCUAUAAGCAGAAUCGAUCUUCAGUCUCCAGCGCCCCUUUCCUUUUAAUUGGCUGCCAUGGAAUUCCACCACUUUGUAGCCCAGAGAAGCCAUUCCUGACCUCUCUGGGGCCCCUUUUCCUCAUCUGUAAAGUGGGGUAAGUGUUAACUGGGAUGAAACAUUGAAGGCACGUUGCUUAGUGCCUCACAGAGGUUAAAUAGCCAAGCCUGGAGCCCUGUUGUCGUCUUUCAUACCCCAGCCUCUCAGCAUAGCUUCGCGGAAGGACGAGAAGGGCAGCGGGACCUUCCUGCCAUCAUGAAGAGCCUGAUUCAGGAACACAGAGCCGGCGGAGCCAGAAGGAUGAGUGGAGGGAACUGACGUCUGGACUUUUCACGGGUUAGGGUGCCCUUUGCCUUUGGAAAAAACUGGUUUGGGGAGAAUCCUCCAAAAAGCAGCCUCCAAAACAAGAAUGGGUUGGGGCGGCCAGGAGCAAAGGCUGGCUGGCUGAGGUCCCUUCCACGGAGGAGUGGAAACAGCCUUCCCUAGGUAUGGGGGGAGCAGUCAGCCAGCCCCUCCCUGGCCCACCACAGAUGGCGAAAGUCAAUGCACUCUGUGUUCUUUGAGAUCUCGUGACAAGAGUUAAAACAAACUGUGACAUACAAAAACUUACUGCUGGCAGUAUUAUUGGUGAAGAAUUAAAUUAUUAGCUCAAGAAUUAAAAUGCUGGGUCUGGUACACAGACUACAUAUUCCAGCACCUCCUACAGAUACUGAAAUCCUUCCUUGUGUCAUAAAACUCGAUCAUGAAAAGAAAGGCUCAUGUGUUCCAAGGAACAAAAGGGGCAGCAUCAGUGAUCCACCAGCACCAUCCUACACGGGACAGGGUUCGGCUUCCCGACCCGCUGCAGGGUGGGGGGCUUUGCUCCCCUCAGAAGGACGAGAGAAGCUGUUCCGGCCUCAGCCUUGCCAGGUGGGGUGGCGAGGCCCCCAGAUUUCCUGUGAGCUGUGUUUGAGGCCCCGCACAGGGUUCAGAGGAACCUAGGCUGCUGCCUUGAAACCCAUCCCAGACACUGUUUUGUUUCACGUUGUUUCACGAUGAUCUUGAGAUGCUCUUCAGGGUUUGAGGUCCUCUCUGGGCGUUGGCAAGGCUGGGGGUGUGUGGAGUGAGGUGGGUUCCACAGAAGCGGCUCCCAGAGAUCAGGUCCCUGUCCCUGGAAACGCAGGCCUGCGCCCUGCAGACCGCUGGGUGCCGGAGAAGACCUUCGGCUGACGGGACUUCCGCUAUGGCUGGCUCCGCAGUGCUCUAACGGCGGGGACGAAGGGGCCUUACUGCAGCCUCCGCGUCCAGAUUUCAGGUCACAGCUACAUUCAUGUCACCAGACAAAAGAAGGUGGGGGCAAGGAAGGGAGUUGUGUUUAUGGAGCAAUUGAUGGAGCAGAUGCUUCACGGAGCAUUUUAAGGACUUCACUCUUCACGAGGACACCUAGAGGUAGGGCUUAUCGUGUCCAUUUCAGAGAUAAGGAAACUGAGCCUCACUUUGGUGAAGUAGACCUGCCCAGUGUCUCAGGGCUUGAUCUGCCAGACCCUGAAACCCCUACCCUUUACACAGUCCCAGUGGCUCCUGUAAUGACGGUCCCCAUCAGGGGACCCCUGCAGGGGUCGACUAACAAGCCACCAUCACCGGGUGGGUGCUGUGGUUUACUACUCUUUCAAUCCUGCAAACUUAACGUCUAGUCCUGUAGUGGGUUGAAUUGUAUCCCCUCCAAAAGCUAUGUCCAAAUCUUAACCCCUGGUACCUGUGAAAGUGAUUUUAUCUGGAACUAGAGUCUCUGCGGAGGUGCUUAAAUGAAGGGUCUCAAGAUGAGAUCAUUCCGGAUUAAGGGUGGGCCCUAAAUACAGUGACUGGUGUCCUUAUAAGAGAAAAGAAGGGGAGAUUUGACACACAGAGAGGCCACAUGAAGACAGAGACCGAUUAGAAUGAUGUGACUACAAGCCAAGGGAUGGCGAGGGUUGCCAGCAGCCACUGGAAAGUGAAGGAGGGCAUGGAAUAGACUCUCUCUUAGAACCUCCGAAAGGAACCAACCCUGCCUGCACCUUGAUUUCAGACUUCUAGCCUCCAGAACUAUGAGAGAAUCAAUUUCCGUUGUUUUAAGCCACCCAGGUUGUGGUAAUUUAUUAUGGCAGCCCCCAGUCACUGACACAGGCCUGAUCUCCAUAGUAAGAGUAGUACAAGCUGCUUCUUAUUCAGUGUGUGUUGUGUGCUCCAGGCACUGGGCUGAACAUGCCCUAGCUUCACGGUGCUUCUUGCUCAUUCUUCGAGGUGGGAUCCACAGUGCUUAUGCCCAUUAUCCAGGUGAAGAAACUCGUAAGUCAUCAGGUCCAAGCUGAGCUGGUGCCUGGUGGGGCGGACUCUGCUACAAGCAGUUAAACCUAACACCCCAAAACCCACAGCCCCGGACAGUGGUGACUCUGGUGGGGGGAAAGCCCACUCAGGAACAUGGAAGGCGUGGAGGCUCGGCCCUGGUCUGGAGGUCUGCCCAGCUUCACAGCGGCCUCAGAGCUGCACAGGACCAACUGCUCCGAGAGCAUCCGGGGUUUCCCCUUUGCUCUCCCCCGACUUAGUAGACCAGAGAGGUGAGGACUUUCCCUAAGGACACACAGCUCUCCGUGGCAGUCAGUGAGAGAGCUCAGCAAGUCUGGCUCCCUGGUCCUUGUGUCCUGGAAACGGCCAGGGACUGGGGCUUUCCUCCUCAGACACAGCUGAAAGAAUUCCAGACCCAGGAGCUUCCCUGGAGUGUACCUGCUCCCCACUCUUCCCCACCAGACUCAUCUGGAGAAACUUUAGAGGAGCAGAAGGGCCCUUAAAUACCACCUACAGGUCCACCAUGCCUUACAGUGACUCCCAAAUCCCCAGCACUUGGCAUACCUAAUCUGGUAGCAAAAACCUGACCUAAAUUCCUGUGCGGCGCUUUACAAUCUUUAUGCAUCCCACUGCUGUGAAUAUUUCACUGCAGAAAUAUUAAUGU